AGUGAACGCUGGCGGUAGGCCUAACACAUGCAAGUCGAACGGCAGCACAGUAAGAGCUUGCUCUUACGGGUGGCGAGUGGCGGACGGGUGAGGAAUACAUCGGAAUCUACUUUUUCGUGGGGGAUAACGUAGGGAAACUUACGCUAAUACCGCAUACGACCUACGGGUGAAAGCAGGGGAUCUUCGGACCUUGCGCGAUUGAAUGCGCCGAUGUCGGAUUAGCUAGUUGGCGGGGUAAAGGCCCACCAAGGCGACGAUCCGUAGCUGGUCUGAGAGGAUGAUCAGCCACACUGGAAGUGAGACACGGUCCAGACUCCUACGGGAGGCAGCAGUGGGGAAUAUUGGACAAUGGGCGCAAGCCUGAUCCAGCCAUACCGCGUGGGUGAAGAAGGCCUUCGGGUUGUAAAGCCCUUUUGUUGGGAAAGAAAAGCAGCAGGUUAAUACCCCGCUGUUCUGACGGUACCCAAAGAAGAAGCACCGGCUAACUUCGUG
rnacentral:rRNA from 1 species